UUUGUAUCAGCAGUAGUGUGGCCAGCAGGACCAGGGCAGGGAUUGUCCCCCUGUACUCAGAACUACUGAGGCCACACCUCAAAUCCUGUGUUCAGUUCUGGGCCCCUCACUACAAGAAGGACACUGAAGUGCUGGAGAAGAGCAGUGAAGCUGGGGAAGGGUCUGGAGGUCUAAAGGAAAAUCAGUUUCAUUUUGAUUAAAUUCAGAAGCAUCCCAACAGCCUAUUCAGAUUGCCAGCAUAGGAACAUGCUGCAGGUGAUGGUCCAAAUUCCCUGCUGGCCUGAGGCAUUCCAGUUUCAUCAGCUUCAAGGAACUUGUGUGCCCAUCCAUCAUGCCUUCCUGAAGAAGCUGUUGUGAGUUAGUGACAGUAUUGAUCUACAGCAAACGCUUUACUCUGAAGUAGAUGCCUCUGUAGCUUGUUCAGCUCUGGGGCCACCUUAUUUCAACAGCACUCUGGUUACUUUGAAAUGUAACUCCACAUUUUUAAAACCAAA
rnacentral:lncRNA from 1 species